AACGAACGCUGGCGGCAUGCCUAACACAUGCAAGUCGAACGGGAUCCUAGCUUGCUAGGUGAGAGUGGCGGACGGGUGAGUAACAAGUGGGAAUCUGCCUUCUGGUUCGGGAUAACCGCGGGAAACUGCGGCUAAUACCGAAUGCCCUCGCGAGAGGAAAGAUUUAUCGCCAGAAGAGGAGCCCGCGUCCGAUUAGGUAGUUGGUGGGGUAAAGGCCUACCAAGCCGACGAUCGGUAGCUGGUCUGAGAGGAUGAUCAGCCACACUGGGACUGAGAUACGGCCCAGACUCCUACGGGAGGCAGCAGUGGGGAAUAUUGGACAAUGGGGGCAACCCUGAUCCAGCAAUGCCGCGUGAGUGAUGAAGGCCUUAGGGUUGUAAAGCUCUUUUGCCAGGGAAGAUGAUGACUGUACCUGGAGAAUAAGCCCCGGCUAACUUCGUGCCAGCAGCCGCGGUAAU
rnacentral:rRNA from 1 species